GGAGGAUCCGAGCGUUAUCCGGAUUUAUUGGGUUUAAAGGGAGCGUAGGUGGACUGGUAAGUCAGUUGUGAAAGUUUGCGGCUCAACCGUAAAAUUGCAGUUGAUACUGUCAGUCUUGAGUACAGUAGAGGUGGGCGGAAUUCGUGGUGUAGCGGUGAAAUGCUUAGAUAUCACGAAGAACCCCGAUUGCGAAGGCAGCCUGCUAAGCCGCCACUGACGUUGAGGCUCGAAAGUGCGGGUAUCAAACAGGAUUAGAUACCCUGGUAGUCCGCACGGUAAACGAUGGAUACUCGCUGUUGGCGAUAGACGGUCAGCGGCCAAGCGAAAGCGUUAAGUAUCCCACCUGGGGAGU
rnacentral:rRNA from 1 species